UCCAGGGUAGCCUAGUGGACAAGGCAAAAGCGGUAAGCGGAAAACUGUGGGUUUGAUUCCCAUCCCUGAAC